rnacentral:rRNA from 1 species
UCCGUAGGGUGCAAGCGUUAAUCGGAAUUACUGGGCGUAAAGCGUGCGCAGGCGGUUUUGUAAGUCAGAUGUGAAAUCCCCGGGCUUAACCUGGGAACUGCGUUUGAAACUACAAGGCUAGAGUGUGGCAGAGGGGGGUGGAAUUCCACGUGUAGCAGUGAAAUGCGUAGAGAUGUGGAGGAACACCGAUGGCGAAGGCAGCCCCCUGGGUUAACACUGACGCUCAGGCACGAAAGCGUGGGGAGCGAACAGG